GUGUUGACAUGGGUGUCCUCCGUGAGGGGUCUAUUUCUGUCUCAGUGCAGGGAGGAGAGGGACAGGGACAGGCCUGCCUAAACCAGGGACACUGGACAGGUCUCAUCCCAUUCCCAUGCCAAGUCCACCUGGCCCAACCAUCUUGGGACCAAGGGCAGAGGGCAAUGAGUCACAGAUGACUCAGGUGCUGGAGGCCACAGCCACGCGUGGCACCUGAUAGUCGAGAAGAACUAGGCCUGUUCCUGGACAGACAGGUGACCCGGGAGGCUGACCUUGUGAGGUUCCUUUCCUAGAAGACAGGAGGGCUGUUGGGCUGAGCCAUGUCCACUCCCCCAGAGGUGUGGGAUCAGGGUCAUGUUAAAAGGGAAAGAGUUUUCCCCGGCCCUUUGGAGACAGCAGCUAGUAGCCACUGCCCUGCUCUGCUCUUAGACUGGGUCUGACAGCCCUGUCUUCUUUGCCUCGAGGCAGGAGCACUGAAGCCUUGACCUGCUGCUUGAUCCGGAGGCCUGGGCCACAAGAUGAGACUGGCUGGGAUGUGGACAGCAUCCUGGGUUUGAAUCUGACUAUGCGAUCCGGAGCUGCACUGUUGCCCUUGGGGCCCACCCUCUGCAGCAUGAGGGGUUGUGUUGGAAACCUUGGAAGUUUCUUUCUUUCUUUUUUUUUUUUAAAGAUUUUAUUUAUUUGACAGAGAGAGACACGGCGAGAGAGGGAACACAAGUAGGGGGAGUGGGAGAUGGAGAAGCAGGCUUCCCGCGGAGCAGGGAGCCCGAUGCGGACCUCGAUCCCAGGACUCUGGGAUCAUGACCUGAGCCGAAGGCAGACGCUUAACGACUGAGCCACCCAGGUGCCCCUGGAAAGCUUGGAAGUUUCUUUUAGCUUCACCCCUGAUCAAAGCUUGAAGGCUGGGCUGAGGGAAGGCCUGCAAGAUGCCCCCUCUCUCUCCCCUCUGCUUGAGGUGGGGGACUGGGGAGGAGUGGACUGGGGAUGGGAAGUCCCGGCCUGGCAGGGUAUGCCCCAGGGUCCCUGUCCACCUGAGACACCCUGCUGAUUACAGGGUGAGCAGCCGCGACCAGACACUGUAAUCUGCCAUCCUCCCUCCUGCCAAGGGCCUGCUGCCGCCUUUCCUAGUGCUUUUUACAAUUGUUUCCUGGGAACCCUGGGAAGGGGGAAGCCCUCAUCCCCAUGGCGUGAGGCUGAAGCCAAAAAGAGGAGUCCAGGAGAGCAGGCACCUCGUCUGGGAGUGACCCACAACUUGCUGAAUGCCUGAAUCUCAAGUCUUGGGAAAACAAUGCUUCCUCUCAAGAUCAGCUGAAUGAAAUGAGCAACUUCUAAUCUGAUCAUCAACCGAGGCAGAGGAGGUUUAUAAUGGGUAAUCAAGGCAUGAAAACGGCCUGGGAUAAUUUACAUGAUUUUUUCAUGCUCAGUCUUCACAAGCUGUGUGCAUCCUCUGCUUACUCACAGCACAUCUCGAUUUGGACCAGCCCCGGGCGCUGGGCAGCGAGGGCUCGGUUUUCUGUCUCAUGUCCUUCCCUGUGCUGGAAGGAGCCAGGGCUGCCCGUGUGCGUGCGGGGACUCGGUGCUGGCGCCUGCCUGGCGAUGGAAGGUGCUCGCGGGGAUCCUCGGCCGCGAUCUGCUGCAUGCGGGGUUCGCCCGCCCCCGUUCGCGUUCCUGGGCGGCAGCUAGCCCCUGCCAGGGCUGCCGGCUGUUUUCCAGCGGCGGCACACAGACGACGCUAGUAUGCAUCUGUCAUCGUGGGGAGGCCUGCUUCUUCUACCUGGACUUAGACUUCCUGCUGUGGAUCACCUAUCAGCCAACCUCUCUCCCUUCUUUUCUUGGAAAAUUGGAGCCCAUUAUUAAAAAAAGAAAAAAGCAGACCCCGCAUUGAGUAACCUGUCAUCUGAACACCGAAACCUCACCAACACGAAAUGUAGCUGAAGGAAGGUGAUCCUGGCCCAUCUGGUCAUAGAAGGCAGAGAAUACAGUUUGCAGUUUGGUGGAGAGAGAGUUGGCCGAUUCCUUAGCCAUCCACUCUGGGAACUCACCUCUGGGAGUUACUAGGGACAGGGUGGGGAGCCUCAUCCCUCACAGAGAAAGCUUCAACUUGAAAAGUCACCAGCAACACCAGCCUAAGCCCCCUGGGGAUGGAGCAUGGCACCCAGGCAAGGAAGGGCCCGCGAAUGCCUUGGAGACAACAUUGCCUAAUGCCAUGGACGGGAAGAGCCCUCCCUGAUCAACUCCCCAGAUGGCACUUCUAUUUGCACUGGACUCUCGAAACUCAUUUACCAACAGCUCACUCUGCAAACAUUUCCUGAAUACCUACCGUGCUUGAGUCCAGAGGUUCUCAAACUUGACUGCACAGAAGAGUCAUCCAGGAAACUUGUGGGAAAGGCCGAUUCCCAGGCUCCACCCCAGAGACUUGGGAGCACAAAGGUGCUGGGGGCCGCCCAGGAAGCUGCAUUUCCAAUAAGCCACCGCGGUAGCAGUUUUAAGACCCUACUUGUGGGACCUAUCCUCAAAAGGCUCAUCGGUUUAAAAAAGGAUUGUGGAAAACACCCGUAAUUCUGCCUGCUUUUCAGAGAGCUGGGAGCCAGGGUCGGAGAGGGACCCUGGAACCCUAGCUCGAGAUGAGGAUGAAGACAAGUGCAGCUGUGGGAAGCAGUCUUCAGAUCUGGGAAAGGCUUCCCGUGGAGCCGGAGUGGGUGUCUGCAGGGUCACCCCACCUGGCAGGAUUAAUACCAGCGGGGGAGAGGCCACCCAGAUCAGACAGCCCAGAGCCCCAGCUUCGUGGCAGGAAGGGUGCCGCCCUGGGAAGGAAGAGCGCAAGAUCCCCGUAUGGAAAGAGAGCAGCUGAGGUCCCUAGGAGAUCGGCACUAUUAUCACUCCAUAGUACGGAAGAGGAAACUGAGGCACAGCAAGGGUCUGGUGCGGGAUGGCAAUCCUGGCCUUCUUCACGUGGCUCCUGCUCCUGGACCAGGCGGGCUUGCUGUCCCCUCUGUGCAGAUGGAGAAGCUGAGUCCUGAAUGGGGGAAGGGACUUUGCCAAGGCCCCAUACCUCGUGGAGCACUUCCCAGCCUACCGGCUGCCUCUUGAUCUUUAACCGCUAGAGUCCUAUCCCUGCCCCCCAACAAAUAGAUAAGGAGCUCCCAGCAAGAAAAGCUGCCGAUCUUGAGAAGCUCAACAUAGCCAUAGGGAAAGGCCACGCGGAGGAGAACUGAGGUGCUGCCCUUGGCCCCAGCGGACCCGGCACCAAUUUGCCAGCAUGGGAGUGAAGUCAUUCAGGAAGCAAAUCCUACAGUCUGAGGCAUGGAGCAGAGAUGAACUGACCCUGCCAUACCCUGUCACAACUGCAGAAUUGGGAUCAAAUAAAUAAUCGUUGUCUUAAGCCAUUAGCUUUUGGGGUAGCUUGUUACACAGCACGAGGUAGCCGAAACACAGGUGGAUGGCCCAGGGCCUUUGUACUGUCGGAAAAACGGAAUCCACCAUGCAUCCUUUUAUACCCAAAUGCCAAAUGUCUCUUCCUUACACCUUGAUACUAAAACACGACCUGGGAAGUUGCCGAUGCUCUGGAAAUACGUAAGCGUGCCUACUCUUCCCUCCAGAACCCCAGGCCCUGCCCUCGACUCCUGCCAAGUGUUUAUCUUUUCCCCUCCCGCUUGGAUUUGUAGCUUCUUCAAUGGGGGUGGGCUCCAUGGACCAUCCCUGGUUUUUCAUAAAGCUGCUGACCUGCCCUAUCACUUAGAUCAGGGUUGGGCAGCAUUUGGCAGCCAAAGGCUAUUUGUGUCUACAAUGGCCUCCCUCGAGCCCACGUGAGUAAACGUUGGAGGAAUGAAUGAACAAAUGAGCAAAUGAAUGAACUGUGACAAAAAGGAACUUCCCUGGAUCCCAGCACGAGGUCAAGAUGAGGAAAUCGUGGCCCAGAGAGGUUAGGCAACUUGCCUAAGUGGGGAUGGGAAGAUUUGAAUUCAGACAGUCUGGCACCAGAACCCAAGGGCAUAGCCCCCACGCUCUGACAAACCACAGGAGUCCCAUAUUCCGCCCUUGGAGAAAAGGCCGGAACCUGGAAUGCUUUAGGGCGCAAGCCCCAGACCCGAGCCUAUGAAGUGCUCCUGGGAACCUCCAAAAGCCCAGGUUGGAAGAGAAGAAGAAGCAAAAAAGGGAGAGACAGAGAGAGAGAAGCAGAGGGAGAAGCAGGCUCCCAAGGAGCAGGGAGCCCGAUGCGGGACUCGAUCCCAGGACCCCGAGAUCAUGACCUGAGCUGAAGGCAGACGCUUAACCAUCUGAGCCACCCAGGCGCCCUAUUAUUUCUAAUCUCCAUGAAAACUCUACCAUUAUCACCCCCUUCCGUGCACAGGAGAGCUAAGGCUUGGAACUUGGAGAGGUCACAUAUCCUGCCCAAGGUCACUUAAACUUGUAAAUGUCAGAAUCAAGAUUCAAAUCCAGAGCUGUUGGCUCCAAAGAAGUUCUCUAAACUAGCCUUUUCCAAAGCUAGCUGUUUAUCAGCAUUUGCAGAGAAGCUUUAUACAAGCACAUCUUCUUUACAAAAACAUCAUGAAAAAGAAUGAGGCAGCUCUCUAUGCAUCAAUAUGGUGCUGUGUGUGCCUAGAACAUCUCGAGAGAGAAGGCAAAUAGCCAGCCAUUGCUGGCCCUGGGGGACAGUCCCCGGAAGGAAUACAGGAGAGAGACUUGCUUGUCACUGUACUCUCUUCAGUACUGGUUGGUUCUUCCUCCCUCCCUCCCUUCCUCCUCCCACCCCCCUUACUUCCUCUGUCCUUUUCACCUUCUCAAAAAUAUAUGAAAAUAAUUUUUAAAUCAAAUACAAUUAUACAUUCCGGGGCCCCCUUGCUGGACUUCUUAAUAAAUAAGGGUCUCCAAGGGUUGGGUCUUCGGAAGCUGUAUUUUAUUUUGUUUGUUUGUUUUUAUUUUAAGUAGGCUCCACACUCAGUAUGGAGCCCAAUACAGGGCUU